AUUGAACGCUGGCGGCAGGCCUAACACAUGCAAGUCGAACGGUAGCACAGAGAGCUUGCUCUCGGGUGACGAGUGGCGGACGGGUGAGUAACGUCUGGGAAACUGCCCGAUGGAGGGGGAUAACUACUGGAAACGGUAGCUAAUACCGCAUAACGUCGCAAGACCAAAGUGGGGGACCUUCAGGCCUCACACCAUCGGAUGUGCCCAGAUGGGAUUAGGUAGUAGGUGGGGUAAUGGCUCACCUAGGCGACGAUCCCUAGCUGGUCUGGGAGGAUGACCAGCCACACGGGAACUGAGACACGGGCCAGACUCCUACGGGAGGCAGCAGUGGGGAAUAUUGCACAAUGGGCGCAAGCCUGAUGCAGCCAUGCCGCGUGUAUGAAGAAGGCCUUCGGGUUGUAAAGUACUUUCAGCGGGGAGGAAGGCGGUGAAGUUAAUAACUUCACCGAUUGACGUUACCCGCAGAAGAAGCACCGGCUAACUCCGUGCCAGCAGCCGCCGUAA
rnacentral:rRNA from 1 species